GUUGUGUCUGCUUCAGCAAAACAUAAACUAAAAUCAGAACAAUACAGAGAAGAUUAGCAGGGCUGCUGCACAAGGAUGACAGACAAAUUCAUCAAAUAUUCUAUAUUAUU
ensembl:snRNA U6 U6 spliceosomal RNA